AAGAGAGACAAGGGGAAGCAUUCCCCUCAAAACCCUAACAUCAUAAAAUCCAUCAAAUUAAGAGGGGAAUUGAAGGUUAAUCGAAUGUAUGAACUAGGAAUGUUGACCACCUAUGUAUCUCCAACAUCAACACGAAGAAAGAAGAAGGCACGAGUCAUUUGAAGUCACAAGCAACGCAAGACCACGGUAAAUCCCACUCUUGUUGAUGCGAGCUCGGACCGAACACACUACAUCGCCCUUUAUGCGCUUCCGGUUAAAGUCGUCUUUUACAAUGGGUCAAAACACUUUCAUAAUGUAAUUGUUAAAUUUAUGUCUAGGAUGUUUCGUAAGUAAGUUAGGAUUUUAAAUCUUAUUUUGGUAGUUUGGGUCAAAACAAUUGUGAUUAAUUCUUGU